rfam:Ailuropoda melanoleuca scaffold634_170, whole genome shotgun sequence.
ACCUGGCUGGUUCAAUUGGUAGAGCAUGUGACUUUUGAUCUUGAGGUCGUGAGUUUGAGCCCACGUUGGGCG